rnacentral:rRNA from 1 species
UACAGAGGGGGCAAGCGUUAUUCGGAAUUAUUGGGCGUAAAGGGCGCGUAGGCGGCCUGGCAAGUGGAAGGUGAAAUCCCUCGGCUUAACCGGGGAACUGCGUCUGAUACUGGAUGGCUUGAGUUCGGGAGAGGGAUGCGGAAUUCCAGGUGUAGCGGUGAAAUGCGUAGAUAUCUGGAGGAACACCGGUGGCGAAGGCGGCAUCCUGGACCGAUACUGACGCUGAGGAGCGAAAGCCAGGGGAGCAAACGGGG